CAGGGCUGGCAGAAUGCACCCGCAUCCCAUCUCCGUCCUGCUCCUCACACCUGGACUCAGCCAUCAGAGAGGUUUUGAGAUGCAUUGGCUGAUAAACCCAGGAGCUGCUGUGCCCAGCACCGGUGCUGCUUUGUGCUCUGCAUCUAUCUGCCAUCCUGCUGUUAAUGGAAACAGGAACUGGAUUUGGGAAAGGAGUGGCACAGACCUGGAGGUAGCUUUUAUCUGCCCACAACCACUUGCACCAGUAGCUGCUCUGUUUGUCCCAUGUUGCAGUAGAAAUAAGGUACCAGUUCAGGCAGGGUUUGCUACAAGGAUGUCUCUCUGAUAAACAGUGGGCAAGUAA